AAAAGAAAAAGAAGAAGAAAACCAAGAAGAAGAAGAAAAAGAAGGAGCAUCUGUGAUCAUUUUUUUCAUCUGUUCAAUAAUGCUUUCAUCAUUGUUUAUUACAUGAUGAUGAUUAUUAUUUUAAUUUAUUUUUAUGGUGAGGACGAGGAAGUGAGGUG
rnacentral:ribozyme from 1 species